UAUAAAUGUAAAUAUUAUGCCAGGGUAGUAAUAGUUAUGUUCUUGAAACCCAAAGAAUUUGGCGGUAUUUUAGUCCUUUCAGAGGAAUCUGUCCCGUAAUCGACAUCCCACGAGAUAUUUUACUUAUUUUUGUUUUCAGUUUGUAUACCUCCGUCAUAAGAGAAUCUUUUUAGAGUUUAAAUUUUCUUAAUAUAUCAAUUAUAUUAUGUCAGGUCAAGGUGCAAUUUAUGAAUAAGAGGAGAUGGAUUACAAUAAAUUUUAUUUAAAUGGAUUAGGUUAAUUAUUUUUCCUAUGAAGGUGGAUUUGAUAGUAAUUUUAAUUAUUUAUUAUUAUGAUUUUGGCCCUAAAAUAUGC
rnacentral:rRNA from 1 species